rnacentral:lncRNA from 10 species
CUGAGGCCUGCAAGACGUGUAGAUGUUUUAUUUCCUAAAACUGUGCUCAUCUUGUCCAGAGCCCCACACCCCUGUCAAAGGCAGGAGGAGGAUGCUUAAAGCUGCCACUGGAGACGGAUACAGCACAUGGUUGUUCUGGAAAAGUCCCUUUCAGCAUACCUUGAACAUCACCAAGAGGCAGCCCUCCACCUACCUCCUCCGACCUCCCACUCCUCCUCUUCUAGAAUACCCUCUUUGUCCUUCUUCAACACCUUCGACUCUUUCCAGGCAACCUGUUGUGUGGGGAUCCUGCCCAAAAAUGCCUCUCCAUCAUCCACGCCAGCCUGGCCUCACCAUCCCUGCUGCCCUGCCCUCCCAGGCCUCCAGUACCACUGGACCCCACAACCAGAGAAGCUUCCUAACCAGGGGGCCAGCUUGAGGCUGUUCCCCCAAAUUAUUUCCAUCUUUCCAACCACCUUUCUAAAGCAUGCCUUAGCUUAUACACAGGUAGAUAUUAACUAGAAGAUAAAAUCCAACUUCUUCAACAUGAUGUUCCAGUCUCUUGACAGUCUUCCAACUGGAUCAAGGACCCAUUCAUUUUUGUCUCCUGAUGUGUGUCUUCUCUACCAGGCUUCAGGUAACAUUUAAAUAACUAUGCUUGUGAUUGCUUAAAAAUACAUUCGGG